UUAUUUAUUUAUUUAUUUAUUUAUUUAUUUUUGAAGAGACCCCUGAGAAGGCGGCGAGGUGCCGUCCUCUCCGCCGGGUCUAUCUGUAAUUGAAUCUAGGUCAGUUAUUCUAAAGCAUGGGAGAGGCUGAUUCCCUCUUUCCGACAUCAGCCCGGAAUUUGGGGGGAGGAGAGGGGGGUCUUGCAAUUUCAUUUAAAAUGUAAUGGUGGAUGAACCGAUAAGCAAAUAGGGGGAAAAAAGGCUCUGCUUAAAAGAAAUAAAAAAAGAAAAAAAAAAUGGCAUGCUUUUAAUAUGCUUCCAGAUGGGGGGAAAAUGAUUUACAUGGGAGUUUAUUUCCUCUUUGCUGAUAUGAAAGAAUUACAGAUACAAAACCCACUGAUCUAUAGAAUAAAAAAAAAAGAAAAGAAAUGUUAUUUUCCUGUAAAGGUAUCAGUUCAUUUAUAUUCAUUUAACCAUCCAUCCAUCAAUUCACUUUCUCUCUCCCUGCACAUUCUCUCUGCCUCUGGUAAACCUACCCCACCAAUAUACUUUUCUGGAAUAUACAAUGAAGUUUCCUUAAAAAAGAAAAAGAAAUAAUGAGAGAUUCAGCUGAAGUAGGGAAAGAGAAGUUCCCCCUCUCCCCCCAGCCCCCAGCUCCUGGUUUACCUUGCAGACUUUGAGGAAAUUAGCAAUAUGAAAGAAAAACCGUUCAAGUUUGGAAGAAAAUGUCUGUAUAUAUCUAUAAAUAAUAUAUGAAGUAUAGAUGUUAUAUAUGUGUCUACUGUGUAUAUAUAAUAUAUACCACGGAGCUUGUGUGCUCAACAUGUAUGUACCGUGUCUUUACGCUCAUGUUAUAUAAAUAGCUCAUUCUCCCUCUAUGUGCGUGCCUAUAAAAUAAAAUAUACAGAUAUUGUACAGAUAUUUACAGCAUUCAUAUAUCCCAAGUGCACAGACAUAGAUUGAAACAUACAUCCAACCUACGUAUGCUGUUUAUAUAUAUAUGCGCAGUAUAUAUGAUGCCCACACUGUGCACAUACAAAGACGGUGUCUCUCUGACCCGGAGCAGAACGUUUGCAUUUAAACAUAAAUUAUCAUCCUAAAUUCCCCACCUGUGUUCCUGUGUGAGUGUGGAGGCACAUCUGACAGCGUAGCAAGGGUGCUGGUGUUUGUGUCCACAUGCUGGGCACUCUGUGCACACAGAGAGAGAGUGGACUACGGGAAGGCAGGAUCAGCCUGGUGCCCUCAGACCUUCCCAAUUGAAGAGCUGUGGUUGUAUUUUUUUUGUUGUGUUUGGGGUGAUAGCUCGGCCUGUGGUAGAAUUUCCUUUAUAGGAAGAGGGACCGAAGAGCAAACCUCUCUCAUAGUUGAUAACACAGGCAAGUAUUACGACAAAUCUACCCUAUGUGAGCCCUUCCCCAUGGGGCCAGCCCUGGCUGGAAGUGGCUCCUUCCUCCCCAUGCCCUCACCCACCAGAAUAGCCACGAGGAGGAUGAGGCUGCGUGCCCAAAGCGGGAGGCUGUUAAACCACCCAUCCAUCAGUCAUCUCCCAGAGACCUUCGCACAGGCUGGAAGCGAAGGGAUCAGCAUAACUCGCCUUUGUAGGCUGCAUGUAGCAGGAAAAGCUGUACAAGAAGUUGGCUCUUUAUUGAAAGGAAUACGUAAACGGAGAGGCAGCUAGAUAUGGAAAUACCUACAUAGGCAGAUAAAAACACACACCUUUAUCUUCAGCCAGAUAUUUAUAUAGAUCCGCAUAUAAUUUCUCCCACGGCUGCCUGUUAGAAGCGCCUCCGCCGGCACUCGGGGGGGGGGUCCAUGCUACUCUUCCAGCAAUCCCAGGUAUAGAUGCAUCGCCCACCCUGCGAUCAAACAGCACUGAGAUGGGCAGCCCUACGGAAGCAUGCCCUGUGUGUGUAUCCCUGCAACAACACCAGGCUGAUCAAAGGCGGAGGCGCCGGGCUCUGUGCUGUAAGUGGCACCCAUGGAUGUCAGCCCCGCUUCAUGUUUGGAACCCGCACCUGAAUAAAUACAUAAUCAUAUCACAUAGCAUAAUUAAUAAGAGUAGCACCAUGAAGGACUCUUAAAGGAAAGGCUGUUGAAAGAGAGUUCCUGAAGAUAAUCCUUUUAAAAGGUUUCCUUAAAAUGCAGCCGCUAGUGGGAAUAAGGCAGGUUUAGUUCCAACGUCUUAAUACCUCCGGGUAGCACUGUUUUAGAUCUCGUAAUGUCUUUCCUUUAGCACUGAUUUGACUUCUGAUUUGGGACUUGCACGUUUUGGAGGAUCUUGUUGCUGCGGUGGUUCUCACUGAGAAGGUCCCCCGAGGAUGUUACCACCAGUGACCUGCUGGGACCUGCGGCUUCAUUUCUGCUGGGAAUCAUAUGCCCUCCCUACUCGUAACACCCUUUCCAACCUCACCCUUCUGGAGUUUUGUCUAAUGACCCAUUCAAGUCGUUUCAGGGUGCUGCUUCGUUUGUUUUUCCCUUAUGGCGGAUGCUGUGACAAUCCCCAAGCUGUUGAAAUGGGGUUCGGUUUCUCCCAAGCUCUUUGCUUGGGAGUGUCCCCGGCUCCAUCAUGCUCAGGAUGGGUCUGCAUGGCAUCGCUUGCUGGGGUCGGAGUUUUUGAAGUUUGCCUCCUUCCCUCCCUGUGAGCCAUUAGCUGGAUGACACGGACACAGGUUUCCCUUCGCUUCUUCUUCUUCAUCCAACCCUACUCACACGGAAACUCCCCCACCAGGCAGUGAGAGAAUGGGAACAGAUCUUUAUCAGAGACUCACCCACAGUCCUCAGUUUUGUCUUAAGGAUAUGCAAGCAUCUGGACAGCUCCCCACUAUGGAUUUUUAUUCCAUUGCUGCAGUGUAGAGGUACUAUGGAGGUUUGGCAUAAAUAGUUUUCUUUAACUCAAUUUUGUAAGCACCUCUUGGCACCGUACCUCGAGCCCAUAUGUGCAAAUAGGAGAGCUGGAGGACAUGUCUACUUGGGGCGCCAGCCUCUUUCCACUCAAAUGCAGCCUCUCUGUUUAGCAUGGAUUAAAAAAGUACAAAAAAGGACGUGCAGUACAGCGUGACAUCCCAACAGUGCAGGAGCACCAAUGAGGAAUAAAAGCACAGGAAUGGAGGUGCUCCAGUGAUUCCUUCCUUGGGCAGGGCAGUGGUUAGGUGCUCAUCAGUGUCAAUGCCCUUCUCUCUUCUCCAUGCCUAACAUCAUGCAUAGAGCCAACGGGGCUAUGCUGGGACAGGACCCCAUGGGUCACCUCCUUUGCUGGCACAUGGGGAGCAGCUGCUGCCUGCAGAGAAGCCAUCCCAAAGGUCAAGCUCUGCAUGUGCUUUGUCUUAGUCACAGUGGUUUUCCCAUCCCUAAUUGAUAACUGAUGAGAAAACCUUUUGCUCUACGCAUACCUAUGCAUAUGUAUAGAUGUGCACACAGAUGAACACAUGUGUAUAUAAAUGGAUCUCUUUAAAUUUAAAUAGACUUAUGCCCAAGGGCAGGAAGGUGGAUAAAAGGUCGUUACAAAGAGAGGAGAUCCAACACAUCUGUGAGCUCUUUUGUGAGGAUUAAAUCUGUAGCAGGCUGCAUUCAGUGCUAAUACUCCUAUUAAUUUCUAUUUUUCAUUAUUGUUUUCACAUUUGUCAAGCUUCGAUGAAGGGAUAAUGAAGUGAACGGAUGUUAACUGCAAAUUAAUCAUCCCUGUCCUGAUAGCGUAACACAAGUUCCUAUUCACUUACCUUCAUUACUUAGAAAUAGCAACACACGUUACAUAUUCAUAGCAGCAAAACCUGCUGGAUUCCGUAAGAUAGCAAAAGAGAAAAAAAAAAAAGAAAAAAAAAAAGAAAAAGACUGACUUAUUUCUAAAGAAAGUAUAGAUAUUCGUUGGGAAUGCUGGUUUGAACUCCAAGAAAGAGCUGAGAAAGAUGAAGGUGUAGUGUUGCAAGGAGAGCUUGUGGGAAACCACGCGCAGGUUGGACCUAUGGCUGUGUUUAGCUAUUGAAGGUGAGAUGGUUUGAAGGUCUCUUUUUUUUUUUAAACUGGAGUCUGUUUUUUUCUCAUUGUGUGGCAAGAGGUAGGUGUAUCUGUCAGUAGAGAGGUUUUUUUUUUUUUGCAAACUUCUUUGCUUUGCUUUGGGACUUGAUUUCUCUGAGCCUGGUUUUGUGGUGGUAUCAGGUUUUUGGGAGCCUAGAGGCUCCUUAGUGCCAGUAUGAAUGGGAACAGAGUCGGUGAGACCUUGGGCUCAUUGAGGUCCUUCCAAGGGACCAGAGAGGGGCUGGAGGUGGGGAUGGAGAGCCCCCCGCCCCAGUGAUGUGUCUGUUCAGGGGUUACAUUGGGAUCUGCUGGAAGAUUUGGGUACAGCUGCUCCCGGAGAUGGGCUUGGAGCACUCGCUUGUUUUCAGCUUGGACUUUGACUCAGGCAAAUGUAUGAAUUUCUACUCAGGUGUUUUACUCCCAGUGAGGCAAUGUUGGGUUUUAUGGUCUGUAAGACAUGUUUUCAUGGUAAAUGAAGCUGUUCCUGGGGGAAGUGGCCACUGUGGGUUCAUCCUGGAGAUACUCAGAGAAUGUUCCAAGGUUUGCAGACAUCACUUUGCCAGUCCUUGGUACAGUCCUUCUUUUGCUGGUCACUUGAGAGUGAUGUUGACACAGCAGGUUUACCUACCCUAUUACAUACCUGUCCCAGCAUUACUUUUUGUCUUCCCAACCUGGAUUUAUCACUGGUCCUUCCUUUUUGAAAUGCAAACUUUUUACAGCAAAGAGUCAUCUAAUCAUUGUCCAAUGACACCUCUCCCAGAAUAUUGCCUUUCCUGCUGUCUCCAUCACUUGUUUGGCGGAACCAAGUGACAUUUUCCUGCAUAGCUUUCACUUGCCUGCUCUCCUGGAGAAACAGCCAGAUCUCCACAUCUGCCUACCUCAUUCUGCCUACCCUGUGCCUGGGUCAGGAUGGGCAGCAGACCUCUGUCCACAGACCGACUUUCUGCAUCCAACUCAUCUGUAUUAUACCCAGAACUGUCCUACUGUCUCCCCUCCUCUUCUCUCUUCACAUUCCCUUCUUUUUUUUUUGUCUCUUUUCCCUCUCAACAGGUGCUGACAGAACAUUUUCUCGCUGUAGUUCUGUUGGAUUUCAAAGGCCUGGAUUUCACUCCUCACCCACCAUCUCUGCUACGUGCUCUCCAAGCUGAAAUAUCUCCAUUCAUUUAGUAAGCCAUAGAAAGAAACAAAGCAAUGGAGAGGGACAUAAGUAUGCCAGAAUUCAGUGCUCUGACAGCGCAGUUAACUAACAAUGACCUCUGGCUACUUCUGUGGCUGCUGCGUAACGCUUUAUACUGAGUGCUUCUUUUGUUUUGUCUCCAGCCCAAGAAUUCAUUUUUUAAUAAGAAAACUCAGAAGUGCCUCUGAAGGGUAUGGGCUCAUGAGCAUCACUGCUGUGUUGCAGACGUGCAAGCUUCACUCGCUCACAUGGUCCACGGACUCCAGCUAUUUGGAUUAAUGAGGGUCCAGUGUAGUCCUUGCUUUCUCCUCUUGCGAGAUGCAUGCAAUAGAGCCUCGGAUCUGCCUUUGCCUCUUCAGGCAUCUUCUCCAUGCCAUCACGUGUGCACGCCGCUGCUUGGAGAGCCUUGGAGAAGAGGAGGAACAGCUCUCAACAUGCGAAGCGAGUGGCUGGUUUACUUUCCUCGUUGCACCCAUGGCUGGAGGAGCAGCACACUUCAUGUGCCUGCCUCCAGUCCCUAGAGUUGGCUGUUAAAUCUGGCUCUAGCUAUUUGUUCUUGAAAGUCAGUCUUGCCUUGCUGCCUUUCAUGGGCCCUCUUCUGCUUUAUACCUGUCCUCAUGCCCAAGGGUUCUGUUUGUUGCCAAACUGCUUCUUCCCAUUUUCCCUUUGCCCCUUCACCCAGCUCUCCUGCAGGUAGGUUUUCCAGUUGCAUACAUCCUAGUCCCUUUCCCAGGACAAAGGAGCCCCAUGUUUUCUGCCUGGCUGCCUCCCAUCUCCUCUAUUGCCCAUAACUUGCUCCCUUUUCCCAGCACGAAAGAGAAUCCUCGUUUCUUGGCACAGAUAACCAAUUGUCUCUGUCUUCAGCUAUUGCAGAAAGGAAAAGAAAUUUGCUUCACCUAUGCACGAGGGCUGCAGGAUGGUGAGCGCUCCUCCUAGCAAGGUCCUUUGCUCUCCCAGGGCUGUGGGAGGUGUUCUGGGACUCUGUUCUCAGAUCUCAGCCCCACAGUGAGAACUGAUGCAUGUCCCAAGUCAUUGCACUUCUCCUUACUCCUGUUCUUGGCCUGGCUGUCUGGGUGCUCAUUCCUCUGGCUACCUUGGAGCAUCUUUAUUUCCCUUUGACCUUCACAAAGCCAGCAGUGCUUCCUCUGGGAAGGAGGAAGAAGACUAAGUUCAUCAAGACCCACAUCCCUAUGGUCUUUCAUGAGCCAAAGUGGUCUUUCAUGACCCAAAGUGGCAGGGACCCAUGUCCCUUCCCACCCUGGGACUGGGAUUUGGAUGCAGUGGGUGCUGCUGUUAGAGCUGUGCAAACCUGACCUUCCUGAAGGGUUUAGGAUCCUAAAUCACACAGACUAAUCAAAAAAUAAAAUCCAGGCUCUCAAGUGUCUCAAGCAGUUAAGCUCAUUUUGUGGAGAGAUGUGAGAUAUUUCUAAAUGGAAUCAGGAAUGGAGGAAGCAGCUGGGUAUGUUUUAAUUCUAAUUUUUCCUAUAUAUCAAGCGUUAAAUUAACAAGUGAGGGAGAACACUACCGAGGAGCUAUCUGCUGUUUAGACAGGCAUAUCAGGAUAAAAUUACUCUGUGCUUGCCCGUGGUUUGUCUGGAUACUCCUGGAACUGCACCAGUAAAGAGUAUAAUUGCACUGCUCUUUGAGGCUUCGGGUUUGGUGCUGCGAAUCCUCCCUGCCGUCUGACUAUGCAAGGCUUGCUUGAUGACGUUAGGUAAUUAUUCCCUGUAGGCAAUUUCAACUGAGGCAGGACACAAAGCUCCUCAGAGGAUGUGCUAUCAGGAGAAAAGGGAGUAUGGCUCAAGCAAAGGAUUAAUAUUUUUAGCUGUAAAGACGGUUGGCUCGAAUGUUUGUUGGAGAGAGGCUUUCCUUGCUGUGUUUCAGUAUGGGAGACUAAUUGGCACAGGAAAGACACUGCAGUUUAGACGAUGAUGUCUACUUCUGAAUGACCAAUGUAAUUCACAGGCUACCUCAAUAUCAUCAACACUUUUUAAAGCAUUAUUUUUAUUUUACAACAGUGAGAAUAAGGAUCGAUACCAUUGUUUCCAAAUUAGAGUAAAUGAGUUUAAAAUCAGAGCCCUCCCCAGCACUGGUUGCCGCAUGAUAUUGGGCACUGAGGGCUUUGGGUUAGUUCACAUCUGUACACAUCACCUCAAUGGAGCACCACAGGCACAGCUGGCUGUACCUCGUUGGUGCACUUUGAGUACUCGUGUCUCUGCGUUCAUAUUGACUUUCACUGAAGCUCAGACAUAAAAUGCUUCAGUGCACAGAAUAUGAUAUUUUUUCUCAAUCCGAGUCCCAGGAGAACUCACUCCAGGCAUCCCCACUCAAUGAAAUAUUGUCUCUGCCGCCAGGGAAAGCAAUCUCUUGAGAAACAAGCCUGGAUGUAGAGGAAGGGAUCAUUUCCCAGCAACCUUUUGAUAUCGUCAAACCUUCAAUCUUUUGGUGAUUUUUGGACUUGGCGACAACAUCGGACCGGCCUUGGGCACUAAGUGCUUCAUUUCCAUCGACAUUUAUUAUUAUUCCACUUGCAUAUCUCAGAUCAUUGAGUGGUGGAGGUAGCAUUAACGUUCCCAUUUUAUAGAUGGAAUAGUUGUGUUGCAGAGAGAUACCUGGACAG